rnacentral:tRNA from 1 species
GGAUGAGUGUCCGAGCGGUCGAAGGAGCACGACUCGAAAUCGUGUGAGGGCAACCCCCUCCCAGAGUUCGAAUCUCUGCUCAUCCG